AGCACUCUAGUUCACUACGCACAAAUUCAAUAUUGAAUAUUAUAUAUAUAUAUAUAUAUAUAUAUAUAUAUAUAUAUAUAUAUAUAUAUAUAUAUAUUCAAUAUUGAAUUUGUGCGUAGUGAACUAGAGUGCU